AUCUUGUAUACAGUAUGUGAUAUUAUGUUUGUUCUAUAUCUAGUUGUUUAUAAUUUCUCUAAUAUAUAAUCAAUGUUAGUUUAUAUCUUUCUACGUGAUAAUUGAAUAAGCUGAGUGAUAGCUAUGGUGAUUAUUACUUUAUAAUCAGCAAACAAGCUUGUUAGUUAUUUUUCUUCAAAAUAAAUUUUAUAUUUUUAAAAAUUCCAAAUAAUUAAAAUUUUUCUCUAUAUAUAAAUAUUUCUUUGACAUGAAGUUUUAAAGUAUUAGUGGCAAUAAUUUUUUUUUUUCACAUCCUAGGAUUGAAAAAAAUCAUCAAACUUAUGAUCAGCUGAAGUCCAUCUAAUUCAUCUGAUUAUCUUAGCCAGGAGACUUCAACCUACAGAUUAUCAAUUAUCAUGCUGGUCAGCACAAGUACUUCAUGAAUGAUAUUUAGCAAUUUGUGACCAUUCUUUAUUGUUUUCUUUCCAUUGACUGCUUAUAUAUAUAACCUAUACUAUAAUUAUCUCACUUAAUUACUAAAGUUGGAUAUACAGUUAGAUAUUUAUACAUAUGAGAGAAUUCAUUUCCUUAUUAGAGGCAAUCAGAUGUCAGAAUUAUAACUAAAAUCAGGUGAAGUCUAAUGCUAUUUAAUAAAAAACUGACUAGAAAUGUUUUACCUCUGACUCAUGAUUAAUGAGUGAAAAAUUUCGCAGUUCACAUUUGCUUCACUAAUAAUUUAUCACAUUAAACCCAACUACUACAAUAAGAUUAGGAAAGAAAUUUGAACAAUAUAAAAAUAUCCAUUGAUUAUAUAAAUCAGGACUAUAAGUCAAUAUAAUACUGUAUGUACUGUCAGUUGCACACUCCAAAAGUUUUUCCAGGAAGACUCAAGCCAGGCUGACUGAUUCCUAUUUUUUUCCCAUUCUCUCUCUUUCAUCAGAGGUAUGGGUGACUCAUGGACAUUGGAAUGUGUCUGUAAGAAUAGAUAAUAUAUCAUUGAUAAAAUUAUAAAUAGUAAUGAAAAAAAUUAAAUCACAAGAUUUUAGAUUAACUGCUAUGUAUUUUUUGCAUCAUGUUUGGUAGACUAGUGCAAUUCUCAGGAAUUCUUUUGCAUCAUGUUGAUAUUACACAGAAAGGAAUAAAUUGCUCAAAAGAAUGUAUUCCUUGUCUCUUUUGCAAAAAAGAAAAACAUCAAAGUGUUAUAUUUAGUUUGGAUUCAGAUACAGGCAUUGAAAAAUUACAGGUUCACUUCAGGCAAACAGAUGGUUUAAGUAUGAAUUGGCAGUGCUGUUACAUAAAAUAGAAAUAAUAUGCUAAGUUAAAAAAAAUAAAUAUAUCAAGAAGAAAAUUGGGUACAACUGCAUAUAUUGCAAAAUCCAGCAAAAAUGGUACUGAUCAAUAGGAGGGGUCAAGACACACAAAAUAUCCUUA
rnacentral:lncRNA from 1 species